rnacentral:rRNA from 1 species
UACGUAGGCAGCGAGCGUUGUUCGGAGUUACUGGGCGUAAAGGGUGUGUAGGCGGUUGUUUAAGUUUGGUGUGAAAUCUCCCGGCUCAACUGGGAGGGUGCGCCGAAUACUGAAUGACUUGGAGUGCGGGAGAGGAAAGUGGAAUUCCAUGUGUAGCGGUGAAAUGCGUAGAGAUAUGGAGGAACACCUGCGGUGUAGACGGCUUUCUGGACCAUUGUUGACGCUGAGACACGAAAGCGUGGGUAGCAAACAGG